rnacentral:lncRNA from 1 species
UCUCCAUAAGUGAUGCCUUUGCCAAGUUGAUCUUCGCUGAUGAAAAAGAUGGUGGGUUGACAUUGGGAGUUUGGGAUCUUGACUACUGAUCUGUUGAUCGAGCUGACUUAAUCGAUGUCGGAGGAGGUGCUAAAGAAGGAACCUGCCUUGGGUGCGACACCUCUUUCGGUGGUGGAUGGGCCACCUUGGUAGGUUGGCGAGUCGACUUCACCA